rnacentral:rRNA from 1 species
AGUCACGAGUUUGAUCAUGGCUCAGAUUGAACGCUGGCGGUAUGCUUAACACAUGCAAGUCGGACGGUAGCAGGCCUUCGGGCGCUGACGAGUGGCGGACGGGUGAGUAAUGCAUAGGAAUCUGCCUAUUAGUGGGGGACAACGUGGGGAAACUCACGCUAAUACCGCAUACGCCCUACGGGGGAAAGCUGGGGACCUUCGGGCCUGGCGCUAAUAGAUGAGCCUAUGUUGGAUUAGCUAGUUGGUAGGGUAAAGGCCUACCAAGGCGACGAUCCAUGGCUGGUCUGAGAGGAUGAUCAGCCACACUGGGACUGAGACACGGCCCAGACUCCUACGGGAGGCAGCAGUGGGGAAUAUUGGACAAUGGGCGAAAGCCUGACGCAGCCAACCCGCGUGUGUGAUGAAGGCCUUCGGGUUGUAAAGCACUGUCGUGAGGGAAGAAGAUCUGACGGUACCUCACAAGAAAGCACCGGCUAACUCCGUG